UUCCUGUCCUGUCCCAGUCACGUGAUGAAUAGUAAAAGUGUCAGAAAUACCGUGACCUGUGGGAUUCCCGUAAAAAUGUCAGCCUCUAGUUCCCAGGCAACCAGUUGAGACUCCAGGAAGUAGCUGACAUUCCCGCAGCCAGUCUUCAACAUACACUUACAUGAAGUACAUUAAAAAAU